rnacentral:lncRNA from 1 species
UUCCCUUGAAUCUGGUUAGGGACCCCUUCAUCUGGUUUGUUCUCACUUGCUUUUGGCUAUCCAUUUACUGACUUAUACUGUUCAUCCAGGACCCCUCCCCAAGCUAACCCAGCCAGCCUCCAGGGUACCACCUCAGAUCCCUCAGUGCUGAAGGUUGGUCAUAAGCACUGAGCAGAUGAAAAUGCCAUGCAUUUGUGUCAGAGUAAGGCGACAUGCACGCCAGCAGCUGUUUGCCCUAGAACUUGAUUGAGCUGCCUGCUUGAGCAUCCUCUUUCCACCAGCAGUUUUCACCUAAGUACCUGCUUGGAUGAGCUUGGAUGAGGCUGGGGAGGGCCAGCAAGUCAGCCUGGGCUCCCAAAGCACCACCCACACCCUUGCCUUCCAAGAGGCCCAGUCAGGCUCAAGACUGGGUUCUUCUGGCCCUUUUAAAGUCAUUUAUCUGCAACUCAUCAUUAACUGUGGCCCCUCCCUGCCUUUCCCCCAGAGUGAGGCAGCAGCUCCCCAUGCAAAUGCAGGAGGCGGACUCUCUUCUGAUGAAGAGGAAGGGACCAGUUCACAAGCAGAAGCUGCCAGAGUUCUGGCUGCUUCCUGGCCACAGAACCGAGAGACUAAAGAAGAACAGAAGCCCGACUACACGAAGAUGACUCGGAGAAGGCGGGCAGCAGAGGCUUCCCAUCUCUUCCCAUUUGAGAAGCUAUGAAGCCAGUGUCCUCGAGGCCAGAGAAGGCAGAUAGCUGAUGGGCCUGGGGACUAGGAAGUUGUGCUGCAGAUCAGUCUGACACCAGCCCAGCUGGAUCCCCAUAGGGUGGUGCGGUAAGCUGCCCAGAGUCUACUCUGG